UUUGUAGUGGACGAAAUUAUAAAAACCAAAUGGAUUGAAGAUACUUGAAAUUAGAUAACUCAAUCAUGGUAGGGAAACAUGCAAUUCAAGUGAAAAUAAAGAUACUUAAAAACAUUUGAUCCGAAGUUCUGAAACUUACUAAACGAUCAAAUAUUACCAAAAUGCAAAACCAACAUUCGAGGAGGAUCAAUCUUCACUCGUCUUCUUGGCUGCGCAACCUAGCCAAUUUGUUGGUUUCAACAGCAUCCAACUGUGCUGCUCGCUCGACAAUUUCCUUCCUCUUCUUUGUUGAAAUAUCAUGGGAUAUCUCAGCACAGGAUGUCCUGAUAAUACAUUAGCAACAAGUGAGAAAAUGCUCAGAGAUAAUGUAACACUCCUCACCCAUCUUGACGGUCAGUGCGAAAGCCAGAUACCAUUGAAGCAUUAUUGAGUCCUCCGUUGGUCCGCCGCGACCACUGGUAGUCGGUGACGGUGGCCGCCGUCCCUGGUGGUUGAAAAUUACGAAGAAAAGGCCCAUUUUAACCUUUUUACUUCCCUCAUCCCCGAUUUGAGACCAAAAUUCCCGAAAAGCCCACCAAAAAAAAGAAAAUCAAAGGAAACCUUUCGGUUCUAUCUUCUUUUGUCGCGACCAUUUGACGAACCCCGAGGAUCUGUCGGUCUUUCCAAACGGAGGGAGAAUAUGGUGAUAUAGGUAUCCUUGGAGAGUAAACGAUGAUGAAAAGGCAGACCCUUGGCUAUUUUGGUGAAACGGCGACAAAAAGAGUGUCAGGCCUUGGGACGAGGAGUGCUGACGUGGCAAAAGGGCAGCGGUGCCAGAAACCCUAGGGUUUUUGGCUUUCUGAAAUUGGUUUAAGUUUUUGGGCCAUUGGGCCCUCUCUUGUUUGGAUUUGGGCUUGAUGUAAUUUGGACUUUAAACUUAAUAUUAUUAUUAUUUUAUUUUUUGAUUUAUUUUUUGGUUGGGUCUGGGCAAAAAUGGCCCAUUACAAAGUUCAAAACAUUUUUUAUUGUAAAAUAAUUAAAAUAUGUUUUAGAUAAAUUAAAAUUUUCAAAAACAUUUAAAAUUAUUUGGAA